rnacentral:rRNA from 1 species
UACGGAGGGAGCUAGCGUUGUUCGGAAAUACUGGGCGUAAAGCGCACGUAGGCGGCUUUGCAAGUGACGGGUGAAAUCCCUCGGCUUAACCGAGGAACUGCCUGUCAAACUGCAUGGCUUGAGACCGGGAGAGGUGAGUGGAAUUCCCAGUGUAGCGGUGAAAUGCGUAGAUAUUGGGAGGAACACCAGUGGCGAAGGCGGCUCACUGGACCGGUACUGACGCUGAUGCGCGAAAGCGUGGGGAGCAAACAGG